GGCGCCGCGUCGGGCGGGCGGAGCGGCGCGGCCAUGGCGUACCAGGGCUUCGCGCAGGAGUACCUGGGCAUGCCGGCCGUGACCCGCGCCUACACCACCGCCUGCGUGCUCACCACCGCCGCCGUGGUGAGCGGGGGCCGCGCCGGGGGCGGGGGGCCGCGGGGCGGGAGCCGGGGCUGGCCGAGGGCAGCGGGUGAUGGCAGCUGCUCUGCCUGUCUCCCACAGCAGCUGGAGUUCAUCACCCCCUUCCAGCUGUACUUCAACCCCGACCUCAUCUUCAGGAAGUUCCAGGUGAGGCCUCGCUCGGGCUCCGGGGCCCGCCGUGCCCCCUGCAGCGAGGGCUGGCCCUGGGUGUCCCGCUCCGCAGGGUGGCCGGGCAGUGCUGUGUCAUCCCGGGGGCUCCUGUCCCCCGCUCCAGCCUGCCCUGAGCGCUGCCAGCCGGGCCAGCCGCACCGCGUCCCUCCUUGUCACGGGCACCUGCGUGGGGAGAACGCCUGCAGCCUUUCCCUGCCACACACAACACCUUGGCUUUUCCUUGUCUCAAACCCCAUCUCUUUCCCCUCUGAUACACCGUGUGUGGCUGCUGCUGUUGGGCUGGUUGGAGAGGGCUUUAUUGUAGAGAGGCAUGGAAAGUAAUUGAUUUGGCUCUGGGUGCUGAAUUGUGGCUGUUUGACCUCUCUAGAAAAGUAGAGAAAUCUUCUUUUCCAUACCUGGAAAGGUGAGACACUGAUGUAUCAGGGUACCAUGUCAGGAGGUCCCACGAGAGGAUGGAGCAGCUGUCUGGUGUCCUGGGGUAGUUCUGAAGGGACAGGUGCACAUCUGAGCAUUCAUUCCCUGCGGACACUGUGAUGGGCAGCUCUACGUGUCAUGAGGAGAGACCUCUGUCCACCUCCUUUUCUCUCUCCUCUUUCUUCUCUUUCAGAUAUGGAGGCUGAUCACCAACUUCCUCUUUUUUGGGCCCCUGGGAUUCAGUUUCUUUUUCAACAUGAUAUUUCUGUAUCCUUUGGUCUCAGUGAAGUUCUCUGCUCCCAUUUUGGCUUAGAUGCAACUCCCCCCAUCCAUCUUCCUCCCCAGCAUGGCUUGCUGUGGCAGCACCCUAGGGCUGUGGGUUCUUCCCUUGGCUCUUUUGAAUUGAAGCCCCUCCUGCCCCUCCAUCUGUGCUUGCUGCGGGGCAGACCCUGCCUAAAGGGAAGCUGGCAGUGCUGCUGCUGCUGCUCUUGCUGGAGAGCAGUGUCCAUUCCUGGGGUGAGCUCUGGCUGAAGCACAGCGGUGCCUCUCUCUGUCCAUGGGGUCAGUGGGGUGAGGUGAAGUUUGCGCUGUUCUGCUCUGGGCUCAGCUCCCUGGGAUGCAAGAGCUUGCAGCAGCUUGUUCCUGGGCAGUCCUGCUGUGGGCACAGGGUGGCCAGCUGUUAAUUUCCUAUACUGCAACCCCUCCCUUCUCUCGUGCCCUCAGGUACAGGUACUGCCGCAUGCUGGAAGAAGGCUCCUUCCGUGGAAGGACGGCUGACUUUGUCUUCAUGUUCCUCUUUGGAGGGUUUCUCAUGACAUUCCCAGCUGUUUGGACUCUUUGCCAGCCUGUUUUUCCUGGGCCAGGCUUUCACCAUCAUGCUGGUGUACGUGUGGAGUCGCAGGAACCCUUAUAUCCGCAUGAACUUUUUUGGGCUUCUUAACUUCCAAGCCCCCUU